CUUUGACACCUUUCUUCCCCCAAACCAGCUGGUAACACAACCCUCGGUGAAAAAGUAUUGCACUUUUUAAGGGGUAAAUUCUUCAGGUUACUGUGUCAAAACAACUGUCUGACCCAGUGCCUGCCACUGUAGGCCCCUGCCCAAGACUGAAUCCUUUGGAUCAGGCCCUGAAUAUCCAUGAGCCCAGCCAGAUGUUGGAUUCCUUACGGCUGCUGGUCACCAGCUUAUUUGGAAGCCUGGUUAAAAGCACUACGUCUUCAAAGCUUUUCCCCGCUCUGAGAUAAUUGCCUGCCUAUCACCUGAUGAAAACCCAAACUUGUUUCAUUUUGUGUUAGUAAGAACUAGCUACUGGUAAGCACUUAUUUAGUUGUAUAACUGCUUUUCAAUUUUGCAUUUAAAUUCUGAGAGUCCCUUAGAUUCUAUCAUUCGGAAACCUGACUCUAAAAAUACCAAAUUAUAAAGAAAUU
ensembl:lincRNA